rnacentral:rRNA from 1 species
AACGCUGGCGGCGUGCUUAAUACAUGCAAGUCAACUUGACUUUAGAUAGCAAUAUCGAAAGUAGGGUGGCGCACGGGUGCGUAACGCGUAGGUAAUCUGCCCUGAGGUCUGACAUAACCCGUCGAAAGGCGGGCUAACAUCAGAUGAUAUAUAGUCACGACAUCGUGGAAAUAUCAAAUCUUCGGAGCCUUGGGAUGAGCCUGCGUCUGAUUAGGUAGUUGGCGGAGUAAUAGCCCACCAAGCCUACGAUCAGUAGCUGGUCUGAGAGGAUGAUCAGCCACACUGGAACUGAGACACGGUCCAGACUCCUACGGGAGGCAGCAGUAAGGAAUAUUGCUCAAUGGGGGGAAACCCUGAAGCAGCAACGCCGCGUGAAGGAUGAAAUACUUUUGUAUGUAAACUUCUGUAAGAUGGGAAAAAUAUUCUCCUCGGGAGAAUUGAUUGUACCAUCAGAGUAAGCCCCGGCUAACUACGUG